rnacentral:rRNA from 2 species
ACUAAGCGUACACGGUGGAUGCCCUGGCAGUCAGAGGCGAUGAAGGACGUGCUAAUCUGCGAUAAGCGUCGGUGAGGUGAUAUGAACCGUUAUAACCGGCGAUUUCCGAAUGGGGAAACCCAGUGUGUUUCGACACACUAUCAUUAACUGAAUCCAUAGGUUAAUGAGGCGAACCGGGGGAACUGAAACAUCUAAGUACCCCGAGGAAAAGAAAUCAACCGAGAUUCCCCCAGUAGCGGCGAGCGAACGGGGAGGAGCCCAGAGCCUGAAUCAGUGUGUGUGUUAGUGGAAGCGUCUGGAAAGGCGCGCGAUACAGGGUGACAGCCCCGUACACAAAAAUGCACAUACUGUGAGCUCGAUGAGUAGGGCGGGACACGUGGUAUCCUGUCUGAAUAUGGGGGGACCAUCCUCCAAGGCUAAAUACUCCUGACUGACCGAUAGUGAACCAGUACCGUGAGGGAAAGGCGAAAAGAACCCCGGCGAGGGGAGUGAAAAAGAACCUGAAACCGUGUACGUACAAGCAGUGGGAGCCUCUUAAUGGGGUGACUGCGUACCUUUUGUAUAAUGGGUCAGCGACUUAUAUUCUGUAGCAAGGUUAACCGAAUAGGGGAGCCGAAGGGAAACCGAGUCUUAACUGGGCGUUAAGUUGCAGGGUAUAGACCCGAAACCCGGUGAUCUAGCCAUGGGCAGGUUGAAGGUUGGGUAACACUAACUGGAGGACCGAACCGACUAAUGUUGAAAAAUUAGCGGAUGACUUGUGGCUGGGGGUGAAAGGCCAAUCAAACCGGGAGAUAGCUGGUUCUCCCCGAAAGCUAUUUAGGUAGCGCCUCGUGAAUUCAUCUCCGGGGGUAGAGCACUGUUUCGGCAAGGGGGUCAUCCCGACUUACCAACCCGAUGCAAACUGCGAAUACCGGAGAAUGUUAUCACGGGAGACACACGGCGGGUGCUAACGUCCGUCGUGAAGAGGGAAACAACCCAGACCGCCAGCUAAGGUCCCAAAGUCAUGGUUAAGUGGGAAACGAUGUGGGAAGGCCCAGACAGCCAGGAUGUUGGCUUAGAAGCAGCCAUCAUUUAAAGAAAGCGUAAUAGCUCACUGGUCGAGUCGGCCUGCGCGGAAGAUGUAACGGGGCUAAACCAUGCACCGAAGCUGCGGCAGCGACACUAUGUGUUGUUGGGUAGGGGAGCGUUCUGUAAGCCUGUGAAGGUGGCCUGUGAGGGUUGCUGGAGGUAUCAGAAGUGCGAAUGCUGACAUAAGUAACGAUAAAGCGGGUGAAAAGCCCGCUCGCCGGAAGACCAAGGGUUCCUGUCCAACGUUAAUCGGGGCAGGGUGAGUCGACCCCUAAGGCGAGGCCGAAAGGCGUAGUCGAUGGGAAACAGGUUAAUAUUCCUGUACUUGGUGUUACUGCGAAGGGGGGACGGAGAAGGCUAUGUUGGCCGGGCGACGGUUGUCCCGGUUUAAGCGUGUAGGCUGGUUUUCCAGGCAAAUCCGGAAAACCAAGGCUGAGGCGUGAUGACGAGGCACUACGGUGCUGAAGCGACAAAUGCCCUGCUUCCAGGAAAAGCCUCUAAGCAUCAGGUAACAUCAAAUCGUACCCCAAACCGACACAGGUGGUCAGGUAGAGAAUACCAAGGCGCUUGAGAGAACUCGGGUGAAGGAACUAGGCAAAAUGGUGCCGUAACUUCGGGAGAAGGCACGCUGAUAUGUAGGUGAAGCGACUUGCUCGUGGAGCUGAAAUCAGUCGAAGAUACCAGCUGGCUGCAACUGUUUAUUAAAAACACAGCACUGUGCAAACACGAAAGUGGACGUAUACGGUGUGACGCCUGCCCGGUGCCGGAAGGUUAAUUGAUGGGGUUAGCGGCAACGCGAAGCUCUUGAUCGAAGCCCCGGUAAACGGCGGCCGUAACUAUAACGGUCCUAAGGUAGCGAAAUUCCUUGUCGGGUAAGUUCCGACCUGCACGAAUGGCGUAAUGAUGGCCAGGCUGUCUCCACCCGAGACUCAGUGAAAUUGAACUCGCUGUGAAGAUGCAGUGUACCCGCGGCAAGACGGAAAGACCCCGUGAACCUUUACUAUAGCUUGACACUGAACAUUGAGCCUUGAUGUGUAGGAUAGGUGGGAGGCUUUGAAGUGUGGACGCCAGUCUGCAUGGAGCCGACCUUGAAAUACCACCCUUUAAUGUUUGAUGUUCUAACGUUGGCCCGUAAUCCGGGUUGCGGACAGUGUCUGGUGGGUAGUUUGACUGGGGCGGUCUCCUCCUAAAGAGUAACGGAGGAGCACGAAGGUUGGCUAAUCCUGGUCGGACAUCAGGAGGUUAGUGCAAUGGCAUAAGCCAGCUUGACUGCGAGCGUGACGGCGCGAGCAGGUGCGAAAGCAGGUCAUAGUGAUCCGGUGGUUCUGAAUGGAAGGGCCAUCGCUCAACGGAUAAAAGGUACUCCGGGGAUAACAGGCUGAUACCGCCCAAGAGUUCAUAUCGACGGCGGUGUUUGGCACCUCGAUGUCGGCUCAUCACAUCCUGGGGCUGAAGUAGGUCCCAAGGGUAUGGCUGUUCGCCAUUUAAAGUGGUACGCGAGCUGGGUUUAGAACGUCGUGAGACAGUUCGGUCCCUAUCUGCCGUGGGCGCUGGAGAACUGAGGGGGGCUGCUCCUAGUACGAGAGGACCGGAGUGGACGCAUCACUGGUGUUCGGGUUGUCAUGCCAAUGGCACUGCCCGGUAGCUAAAUGCGGAAGAGAUAAGUGCUGAAAGCAUCUAAGCACGAAACUUGCCCCGAGAUGAGUUCUCCCUGAGACUUAGAGUCUCCUGAAGGAACGUUGAAGACGACGACGUUGAUAGGCCGGGUGUGUAAGCGCAGCGAUGCGUUGAGCUAACCGGUACUAAUGAACCGUGAGGCUUAACC